rnacentral:lncRNA from 1 species
UCCCCUCGACCUAUAAGGCGUCCUCCCGAAACCCUAGCCCUCUCUCAUCCGAUUCCCCCCAUGUUUCCCCAUCGUGCCCCCUCCCCAUCUGCUUGAAAUCGAGCUCAAAAGCUCGUGCAGUGACCGUGCUCAUCGUCACUGUUGCCGUGGCCACCACCGUCGCCGUCGUAGGAGAAGGAGUUCAGGACAUCCGCCACUGUCAGCUUCAUCCGCCCCGGGCACCAGCUCAAGCCAGAGCGGCCCGUGCGCACGCCAACGCCAUCAUCUUCGUCACGUACACCGCCGACCGUCGUCGUCGAUUCCCACUGCUCCAGCCUCCCCACGGCCAGCCAAGGCGCCCAGGAGGACCGCCGCCGUCGUCCUCUUUGGCUACGGGGGCGCGUUCAAGCCCGGAGCCACCUCAUCGACCGGAUCGACGCCAUCUUCUUCCUCGGUCGUCGCCGCUGCUCUUCAUCGAUCCGUCGCCUCUGCAGCUCCUAAGCCACCAACGGGCCUCCGUGUGCCUCCGCAGUGAGCUCCUGGUCCGAUUCCCCCUCUUCUCCGGCUCGAUCUGUUCCGUGAGCUUUGUCCACCAUGGCAAAAGUUUAGUGUCCGCGUACAUGCACGCUGCUGCUCCUCUGUUCCUGAUGCGUGUUGCUGCUGCUUUCUACCUACUGCUGCUUGCCGCUGCUCGCGUCGUCACGCCGUGCCCGCGUUCGUUGGCCUCUCGCCACGACCGGUUGCGCCCGGCCGCGCCUACGCGCAUGCCUGCCUUCGCGUGGCCUCGCCCCCAUGCGUGCUCCCGCGUCGCACCGCGACCGCUGCUACUGUUGAUUGUUGUUGCCGCUAGGUGCUUCUUCUACUAGCUGCCGCUGCUUGCUGCUCUUGCGGCUGCCUUGUGCGUUGCUGCUUCUCUUACUCUACUGCUUGUUCCUGCUGCUACCUAGCCGCUGCUUCUGCUGAUGUUUUGCUACUGUUGCUCUGCUUUGCUAGUUGCCUGCUAUUAAGCUGAUGCUAAUGGCCAUGGCCGGGCACAUGCUUGUGUGCGUGUUUGUGCAAAGCCCCAACAGCCGGCCGGUGCAAAUUAGCUUAGGGGCUGAUUACUAGUUAGGUUAACUGCUAACCAAUGAUAGUGGCCCCCACUAUUAGUUAAUGUAAUUUACCUAGAGUCUAGUUAACCUUAGACAAUGACAUGUGGGACCCGCUUUCACUGUUCAUCAUUUGACCAUUCAACCUUUGACUGGGUCAACCCACCGCAGUGGCCCCACUGGCAUACUCAUAGGCUAGUGUAACACUAGGUGACAAAAGUAUUUACUAUUUUAUUUUCGAAUUAAAUAAAAUCUAGAAAACAUUUAAACUUCAAUAAAUCAUAUAAAAUAAUCUGUAACUCAGAUGAAAAAACUUUCUACAUGAAAGUUGCUCCGAAAGACGAGACAAAUCCGGAUACGUAGUCCGUUCGACCGCCACACAUCCCUAGCAUAGCAAACACACAACUUUCUCCCCUUCGUUUCAUCUGUUCGAAAACGCGAAACACCGGGGAUACUUUCCCGGAUGUUUCCCCCUUCACUGGUAUCACCUCCUAUUGCGUUAGGGCACACCCGUCACCGUUACUUGUUAUGUCAUGCAUUGUUAUGCAUCUGUUUGCAUUGUAUUCAUUGUUUCUUCCCCCUUUUCUCUCUGGUAGACUAUGAGACCGACGCUACUGCUGCCCAGUUCAACUACGGAGUUGACGACCCCUCCUUCUUGCCAGAGCAACUAGGCAAGCCCCCCCCCCCUUGAUCACCAGAUAUCGCCUAUUCUUCUCUAUACUGCUUGCAUUAGAGUAGUGUAGCAUGUUACUGUUCGGUUACUCCUAUUUUGUUGCAUAGCCUGUCAUUGUUGCUACAGUCAUUGAUACCUUACUCGCAAUAAUGCUUAGUAUAGGAUGCUAGUUUAUCAUCAUUGGCCUUACAUUCUUGUCAGUCUGCCUUGCUAUACUAUUCGGCCGUGAUCACUCGGGAGGUGAUCAUGGGUAUAUACUAUACAUAUACUAUACAGAUGAUGACCAAAGUGGGGUCAGCUCNNNNNNNNNNNNNNNNNNNNNNNNNNNNNNNNNNNNNNNNNNNNNNNNNNNNNNNNNNNNNNNNNNNNNNNNNNNNNNNNNNNNNNNNNNNNNNNNNNNNNNNNNNNNNNNNNNNNNNNNNNNNNNNNNNNNNNNNNNNNNNNNNNNNNNNNNNNNNNNNNNNNNNNNNNNNNNNNNNNNNNNNNNNNNNNNNNNNNNNNNNNNNNNNNNNNNNNNNNNNNNNNNNNNNNNNNNNUUACCUUGAGGUGGAGCGACAGGGCAGGUUGAGACCACCUAGGCGAGAGGUGGGCCUAGCCCUGGUCGGCGUUCGCGGUUACUUCAUAAUAACACGCUUAACGAGAUCUUGGUAUUUGAUCUGAGUCUGGCCACUGGCCUAUACGCACUAACCAACUACACGGGAAAGAUAUGGGCACUCGACGUCGUGGUAUCAGCCGAAGCCUUCAUGAUGUCAGCGACUGAGCGGCGUGCGCCGGAUUGGAACAUAAGCCCGCUCUUGUAUUAAGGGGGCUAGUUCUGCUUCCGGCCGCGUACGCAACGUGCAGGUGUGCAGUGGGCGAUGGGCCCAGACCCCUGUGCGCAUAGGAUUUAGACCGGCGUGCUGACCUCUCUGUUGUGCCUAGGUGGGGCUGCGAUGUGUUGAUCUUCCAAGGCCGGGCAUGACCUAGAAAAGUGUGUCCGGCCAAAUGGGAUCGAGCGUGUUGGGUUAUGUGGUGCACCCCUGCAUGGAAGUUUAUCUAUUCGAAUAGCCGUGUCCCUCGGUAAAAGGAUGACCCGGAGUUGUACCUUGACCUUAUGACAACUAGAACUGGAUACUUGAUAAAACACACCUAGACAAGUUCCACAGAUAACCCGGUGAUCGCUUUUCCUCAGGGCAAUGAGGGGAGGAUCGUCGAGUAGGAUUAUGCUAUCCGAUGCUACUUGGAGGACUUCAAUCUACUCUCUUCUACAUGCUGCAAGACGGAGGCUGCCAGAAGCGUAGUCUUUGAUAGGACUAGCUAUCCCCCUCUUAUUCUGGCAUUCUGCAGUUCAGUCCACCGAUAUUGCCUCUUUACACAUAUACCCAUGCAUAUGUAGUGUAGAUCCUUGCUUGCGAGUACUUUGGAUGAGUACUCACGGUUGCUUUUCUCCCUCUUUUCCCCCUUUCCCUUCUACCUGGUUGUCGCAACCAGAUGCCGGAGCCCAGGAGCCAGACGCCACCGUCGACGACGACUCUUACUACACUGGGGGUGCCUACUACUAUGUGCAGGCCGCUGACGACGACCAGGAGUAGUUUAGGAGGAUCCCAGGCAGGAGGCCUGCGCCUCUUUCGAUCUGUAUCCCAGUUUGUGCUAGCCUUCUUAAGGCAAACUUCUUUACUUAUGUUUGUACUCAGAUAUUGUUGCUUUCGUCGACUCGUCUAUGAUCGAGCACUUGUAUUCGAGCCCUCGAGGCCCCUGGCUUGUAUUAUGAUGCUUGUAUGACUUAUUUUAUUUUUAGAGUUGUGUUGUGAUAUCUUCCCGUGAGUCCCUGAUCUUGAUCGUACACGUUUGCGUGUAUGAUUAGUGUACGAUUGAAUCGGGGGCGUCACAAGUUGGUAUCAGAGCCGACUGCCUGUAGAAAUCCCCCUUCCAAACUCCUUGGCCGAAGUUGAGUCUAGUCAUUGCAAAACUUUUACUAACAUGGCUGUGUGUCUUACAAACCCACGUCGCCAUUGGGUGGUAUUAGGAUCUUUUAUUCCUUGACCUAUACUCUGGGACUCUAAUCUUUCCUCUAUUUGGGUUAAAUGAUUUUGCUAAAAAUACUAACUUUAGGUUCUCGAAAAUACUUUCUCCCGGAGAGCCCCUCACUCCAGAUGAUCGCUUGCUGCACCAGAAGAUUCCGAAGAUACUCUUCAAGGUUUUUCCGAGACCCUUGUGCCCAUCGACUUUACAACCCCCUACCACCGAUAAACCCUUAUGGAUAACUACCUACAAUUGUCGUUCAUACCUUCAUCCUCAGUUGCUCUUGUUAUUACAAGAUGCCUUAAAUUGCUCUCCGUUGUUCCGAAAAUCCUUUAAGCUUACUGCGAUGCAGUUCUUUACCACAUGAAUACCCCUAUUGAAAUUUCCUCGCACUUAUUGAGUAUCCGUUUAUCCCCAGUUGUUCGUAUGCUUCAUAAGAUACUCUGAAAUACUAUCCGACCUUCUGAGCAUCCUCUUCAAACUAUUCCUCCGCAAAUACUUGUAUGCUUACAUUAUGGAUGCUCCCAUAUCACUAGCAAUAUUCACUAGUAUCUUUUGACACUGUCAUUUUGAUCCUAUUGAUUCAACAUGUGUGCGAAUGCACACAAUCAUCAAUCGACCCUUCUAAAUUAUCUUUCUGGCUCAGACGUCAUUCUGAACAUGAGCUGGUUCUGGACCAAACUAUUUGUCGUCAAUUGUGCCUCUGGUCUAUCCAACUUAUCCAUCCUUGAUCAGAGCGUCUGCUUCUGAACCCUUGUUUUGGAAAUCAUAAUUCCUUUGUUAUGUAAGCAUCGAAUUAUUCAGAUGUUCUAUAAUCUGAUGCCCGUGCAUUCUUUCUUCCUCUGAUUGAGUACCGAUACUCACAUCAGCUCCGUUGUGGAUCGCGCGAUCCAUUGUUGGAUUUCAUCCGACAUCGUCCUUCAUAUUCUAUAACCUUGUGAGCCUUUCCACGGGUAUAUAAUGCCUUUUGUAAAUUGUAUCCUCUGCUUGGCCAACCAUGCUCUGCUUUCGAGCUUGUGUAUUUACUUUUGAAACUUGUGGUAUAUGUUACUAAGAUGCCCGAUGGGUUGAACCUAUGCUUUCCCCUAAUCCGUGAGAACCCGAAAGUUUUCACAAGUCAUACUCUUCUGGUGUUCUACCAGAUAAAAUUCCAACACUACAGUUAUAUCAAAGCGAGAGGUGAAUGAAAUGAUAUGCAUUAAAGAAGUGGGAGUCGACCUUGAACUUUGUGUUCAUGCCCAUGCAAAUGAUGUAGACCAUCUCGGAAGCUUCUUGCAAAAUGAUUAUCUAGCUGUAUGAUUCUUUCGGUAUUCUUGAAUUGAUUCCUUACAGUUAUGGUUCCGACCAUGCUGUCCUGAUCUGAUAUAUCUGAUGGGAAUUCAUUCCAGUGCCUCAUCUAUUUUUAGCGAGGUUAAAGUAUCUACUGUCACGAGUCAAUGACCCGGUUAUACUUCUAUCAUGUUCUACCUUCGAGUAUUACCCCCUGGUAUCUCGAACAUGUCUUGUCAUUGCAUCACAUCUUACUAAUUUUGUUGAAGUAACGUCUUUCCUUGUUGUAGUCACUCUACGGGUUCUGGGUUGUUAUCAACCGAGGACACCGACUAGUGAAAUUAUUCCGCACUACAAAUCAAAUACCCCUAAUAUUUUUACUAGGAAAUUCUAAACUCAAUCCGGUCAUUCCUAGCCUUAUAGGCUACAUCAUUAUCGUGCUAAAUUUAACUGUGCUAUCUAGUUCUUCCCGGAGCACAAAUUUCGACGGUGAGCUAAUCUUAUGUUGAUCUUCCUCGUCAUAUCAUUUCUCCUUAAACAACAAACUUGAUUUCGAGUUUGUGUCGUACCCAUGGUUCCAAUAACCUUUCGCUUCAUCAUUCCUUCAACUUGAUGUCAUUGCCGAUCGAUUACAUCUUCUUGAAACCACUUCAUAAAUGUGUCCUGAUCAUCGUCAACAUUUUCACUUCUUCCGAGACGUACCAUGAGUUCCCACUGAGAAAUUCCAUGCUUGCCCCCUCGAUGAUUUGUGUUAACAUUGACAACAUUAUUGAUUUCCCUCCCAACACAAAAGUUCUUCUAGUUUUGUGUUAUACCUUGAGAUCCAUGCUAUCCAGCAAUUGUUCUUCUUUACCUUGAAGUAUUACCAUCUUUUGUGUCAAUAAUGUCAUGAGAAUUUCACCACCUCUUAUGCACUCUUGGUACAAGUGAUACUUCCUGCCAUCUCCGUUCAUUCCUUGGUCCCCGUGUUGUUUCUAACCGGAAACCCGACAAUUGAACUAUGAUGUGUGAAUUCAAAACUUCUAGCGACCCUAUUGCUUUCAAGUAAAUGGUCAACCGUUAAUUCUUAGACUUUGUUUAUUGGAUCACCAUUCUAACUUGAUCAUGCACCCUAAGCCCAUAUUUCGGGUGAAACUUUCAAUCAAUGUUUAAGUGUGUAUGUUUUUCCUCGAGCAUACAUCAUUAUAUUAUUUGAUAUGACAAAUGUUAUCUCCUUGUUCACAUAAUUGUGGAAAUCCAUCUUUUUGGAAAUCUUGAUGCUAUGUCGCUGAGUCCAUCAGCCACCUCCUCAUCCUCUCCUUGGUUUAAUGAUGAACUAUUGUUUCAGGAACUUGCUUCCAUAAUUCAUUUCCCGAGAAUCUUACAAUGUCUUCUCAUCAAUUUGUGUUGCACCUUUUCUUCUCGGACAUCCUGAGUUUGAGGUAUCAUGACACCAAUCAGAUCUGAAUCUUGGUCAGAUAUGAUGGUUGGGACAACUUUCCAGGAUUUAUGAUGUUGGUUCUUAGAUGACCCAGUAAUAUGAUGUCAUUUCCUAGCACCCCCCUGGCUGGAGGACCUAUCAUUAUAAUUUCUUUUGCAAGGAUAUCCAUUUCUUUCUGGAGGAAAUUGUAAGACUUAUUUUAUAAGUUGCUCCUGAUGGAUCAUUUGUGUAUCCAAAGUCUGGCCCUUGAUUGAAACACCAUAUCAUUGCUACCUCGAAGCAUGACUAUGAUACCCCGAUCUUUAACAAGAACAUUGGAGGCGCAAUGCUAAAUGUUUCUUGGUCUGUUAUCCAAACACCAUUGUAUGGGUAACAUCUUGAUUAAUCCUUGCCUCUUAUCGGAAUGGUUGGGUACUUGCUCUCCUACCAUGUAUGCCAUGUUCUGCUUGUACAUGAGAAGGAUAUACUCCUAAUAAUUGUGUGUAAUCACAAUUUUCCUUUCCAUUGUUCUGUUUAAUCUGAUAAUCGCGUUUUCCUUUCCAUUCUUUUGAUUAACUUUUUCUGAAUCUGACUUAACUAAGCAGAUAUAAUUCCCUGUUUAGGUAGGCACCUUGCUGUACCACUCUGUCUGUAAGAUCCUGUUACUAUUGUUGAUGACAUUCCGGUGACCACGGAUGGGUGAUAACUUUGCCAAUUGGUUCACCUCGUUCAACAAGCGAGAAAAAUUGCUCUCUUCGUUCCCCGUCCUUGGUACCGACAUUGUUGCCGGCAUAGCUGACAAGCUGUUCGCUGACAUGCCUCCUUGUCGCGGCUGUGAAAGAUGUCACCACCCUUCCUACUUUCAACCCACAUGGUGGGCCCAUAACCCACAUGUCCACUGGAUCGAAACCUGACUCUUCUUUACAACCCAGAUUCUAAUGUAUCCUUUGCACCUGGCUUCGUAUGUGAUUCACGAGCUAACUGCUAUACCAUUAUUCAUCCUGGAAUCAAAUAACAUGUUAUUCUCGUUGUUCAAACCCCAAUUCCAGCUUCUGUCUAGUCAUCGAAUGGUUGCCUACCCGUUUGAAACUUUGGUACCAUCAUAUAUUGCACUCAGCGAAUUCACAGAAAUACAACUCGUGGGGUACCUUAUGUAUUUCCCAUUGAGUUCACCGUCUGAUGCCCAACUUUGUGGAGAUGUGUUCUUCCGGAGUUUUUCCCCUUGGUCGCGAUCGUAGGAUGAUGGAGAUCCCGAAGAAAGGAUGCCGACUUCAUCAUGAUGACCUGAAGCAGAGAAACGAAAACAUCAACAUAAUGUAUCGACCUCUUCGAGAAGAGCAACCAAGACUAGGAACACUCGCAAGAAUUUCGUAGCCAGCACCUUCCCCCUUAACCACCUCUUAAAUCUCAGGACGAGAUUUCUUGUAGUGGAGGAGAAUUGUGACGCCCGGAUAAUUGAGCUACAGUGAACCUCUGCUAAUGAUGCCACGUCACUUUGGUUACUGUUGAUAAACUUGCGCUGAUUCCAAACCGAUUCAAAUUCAAAUUCAAAAUCAAGUAAAACGGUAAUGGUUUUUGAAUAUUAAAAACUAAAAUGUUCAGGUUGUGCCAAAUAUUGCAUAAGUAAUAAUGGUGGAGAAAUCAACAUCUUUAAGAGUGUUUGAGUGUCCUAAAAUUUAAUAAAACCGUAGCAAAACAAUUAAAAAAUGCCUUUUAUAAAUUAUAAAAUAGUUAAACUAUUUUAUUUAGGGAUAAGAAUUAAUGUGGCACUAGUAUAUUUAUAAAUAAUAGUUUAGGUGCUAGUGGUAAUUUUAUAAAACUAAAAUAAAACGGAACUAAAAAUAAAAUGGUAAAGAAAUAGAAAACAAAAGGCCGAGACAAAAGAAAAAUAAACCCAAAACUAAUCUACUGGGCCCUGUGGCCCAUUAGCCAGAAAAAUAGCCCAACCCACCUAGUCAUCCCCAUCCUUCCGCUACAGGAGGAAGGGAGGGCGUGGCGUGCAUCCAUGUCGUCUUGGCCAUGGAUGGCCUUCACGUAGCCUCCCCUCGACCUAUAAGGCGUCCUCCCGAAACCCUAGCCCUCUCUCAUCCGAUUCCCCCCAUGUUUCCCCAUCGUGCCCCCUCCCCAUCUGCUCGAAAUCGAGCUCAAAAGCUCAUGCAGUGACCGUGCUCGUCGUCACUGUUGUCGUGGCCACCGCCGUCGCCGUCGUAGGAGAAGGAGUCCAGGACAUCCUUCGCUGUCAGCUUAAUCCGUCCCGGGCACCAGCUCAAGCCGGAGCGGCCCGUGCGCACGCCAACGCAAUCAUCUUUGUCACGUACACCGCCGACCGUCGUUGUCGAUUCCCACUGCUCUGGCCUCCCCACGGCCAGCCAAGGCGCCUUGGAGGACCGCCGCCGUCGUCCUCUUUGGCUACGGGGGCGCGUUCAAGCCCGGAGCCACCUCAUCGACCGGAUCGACGCCAUCUUCUUCCUCGGUCGUCGUCGCUGCUCUUCAUCGGUCCGUCGCCUCUGCAGCUCCUAAGCCACCAACGGGCCUCCGUGUGCCUCCG